GAUGAACGCUAGCGGCAGGCUUAACACAUGCAAGUCGAACGCAUCGCAAGAUGAGUGGCAGACGGGUGAGUAACGCGUGGGAACAUACCCUUUUCUACGGAAUAGCUCUGGGAAACUGGAAUUAAUACCGUAUACGCCCUACGGGGGAAAGAUUUAUCGGGGAAGGAUUGGCCCGCGUUGGAUUAGCUAGUUGGUAGGGUAAAGGCCUACCAAGGCGACGUACCAUAGCUGGUCUGAGAGGAUGAUCAGCCACAUAGGGAACGAGACACGGGCGAAACUCCUGCGGGAGGCCGCAGUGGGGGAUAUUGGACGAUGGGCGCAAGCCUGAUCCAGCCAUACCGCGUGAGUGAUGAAGGCCUUAGGGUUGUAAAGCUCUUUCAGUGGGGAAGAUAAUGACGGUACCCAUAGAAGAAGCUCCGGCUAACUCCGUGCCAGAAGCCGCGGUAAAAC
rnacentral:rRNA from 1 species